rnacentral:rRNA from 1 species
UGCCAGCAGCCGCGGUAAUACGGAGGAUCCAAGCGUUAUCCGGAAUCAUUGGGUUUAAAGGGUCCGUAGGCGGGCUAAUAAGUCAGAGGUGAAAGUUUGCAGCUCAACUGUAAAAUUGCCUUUGAUACUGUUAGUCUUGAGUUAUUGUGAAGUGGUUAGAAUAUGUAGUGUAGCGGUGAAAUGCAUAGAUAUUACAUAGAAUACCGAUUGCGAAGGCAGAUCACUAACAAUACACUGACGCUGAUGGACGAAAGCGUGGGGAGCAAACAGGAUUAGAUA